GCGGCUAUGGCGGAACUGGCAGACGCGCUGGAUUUAGGUUCCAGUCCGAAAGGGUGCAGGUUCGAUUCCUGUUAGCCGCACCA
rnacentral:tRNA from 1 species